AAAGAUUAAGCCAUGCAUGUCUCAGUGCAAGCCAAAUUAAGGUGAAACCGCGAAAGGCUCAUUAAAUCAGCUAUAAUUUAAUUGGUGGUACAAUCACGGUUACUUGGAUAACUGUGGCAAUUCUAGAGCUAAUACAUGCAAAACGAGUUCCGACCGCGCUCGUCCGGUCUUAAAAACCCGGCGGGAGCGGAACGAAUGCUUUUAUUAGAACAAAACCAAUCGGAUCUUUCGACCGGCGCCGCCGCCGCCGCCGCCGCGGGCGAGAGUUCGCGAGCGCGCGCGAGCGAGCGUGCGUCCGAAAGCAAUCCGCAAACUCUUGACGAAUCUGAAUAACUUUAAGCUGAUCGCACGGUCAAGCACCGGCGACGCAUCUUUCAAAUGUCUGACUUAUCAACUUUCGAUGGUAGGCUACGCGCCUACCAUGGUGAUAACGGGUGACGGGGAAUCAGGGUUCGAUUCCGGAGAGGGAGCCUGAGAAACGGCUACCACAUCCAAGGAAGGCAGCAGGCGCGCAAAUUACCCACUCCCGGCACGGGGAGGUAGUGACGAAAAAUAACGAUGCAGGACUCUUAACGAGGCUCUGCAAUCGGAAUGAGCACACUCUAAAUCAUUUAACGAGUAUCCAUUGGAGGGCAAGUCUGGUGCCAGCAGCCGCGGUAAUUCCAGCUCCAAUAGCGUAUAUUAAAGUUGCUGCGGAUAAAAAGCUCGUAGUUUGAUUUGUGUUCCGAGCGGUCGGUACGCCGUUCGUCGGCGCCUAACUGACUCGCGGCGGAACGUCCUGCCGGUUGACGGAGCGGAGGGCGGUCCGGCGAAAGUUCGCGCGCGAGCGCGCGCGGUGGCGACUCGAUUCGCGCCGCCCGCUCUCGCGUGCGUGCGUCCGCCGGUGAGAUAAACGGAAGCGCGAGCGAGCGAGCGAGUCGGCGAGUUGAAAAAAAGUUGUUGUCGUUGUUCGUUCGUGUCGUGUCAGGUGUCGAGCGCGGUCGCGCGGGCGACGGUCCCCGACUCGAUUCGGGUCCGCCGCCGCCGUCGCGUCUGCGACUCGACGCGACGCGACGCGACGCGACACGCGCGAUUGUCAACGAUCAACGUUCGACUCCUCGGUUCGGUCUUGCUCCGCCGCCUGAAAACGGACAACGAGCCAGCGUUAUGAGCGCGCUCGCGGUCUUCCGAUUCGCGACGUCGUUGCCUUUGCUCUCGCCGCUCUCGACUCGCGGCGCGCUCCUUCUCCUCCUCCUCCUUCUCCUCCUCCUCCUUCGUGGGGGAGGGAGAGAGAGAAAAAGAGGAAGAGAGAGCGUCGUCGCGUGAGGUCGGACGUCGGUCCGCGUCGCGNGCGUAGAGCGCGCUUUACGGAUCCGCGGAGCGUCUCCGCGAUUCUCNCGGGACGGGUUUCGCCGUCGCCGUCGCCGUCGCCGUCGCCGUCGCCGUCGCCGUCGUCUUCGUCUUCGUCUUCGUCUUCGUCUUCGUCUUCUUCUUUGACAGGGGACAGACGGGGGGAAACGCGACGAGCGCGCGCGGCGACGCUCCGGAUCGGCAGACACACACACGCGCACGCGCACGCGCGCAAAAGCUCGUUCCUCGUCUGCGUCCGUCAGUCUUAGAAUCCCGUCGCGGUGCUCUUAACCGAGUGACGCGCCGGGCCGGCACGUUUACUUUGAACAAAACUGAGUGCUUAAAGCAGGCCGAAACAAACCGCCUGAAAGUUUAAUGCAUGGAAUAAUGGAAUAGGGCCACGGUUCUAUUUUGUUGGUUUUCGGAAUUUCCGAGGCAAUGAUUAAUGGGGACAGGCGGGGGCAUUAGUAUUGCGGCGUUAGAGGUGAAAUUCUUGGAUCGUCGCAAGACUAACCUAAGCGAAAGCAUUUGCCAAGGAUGUUUUCUUUAAUCAAGAACGAAAGUUGGAGGUUCGAAGGCGAUCAGAUACCGCCCUAGUUCUUACCGUAAACCAUGCCGGCUAGCGAUCCGUCGAUGUUCGUUCAGAUGAUUCGGCGGGCAGCUUGAGGGAAACCAAAGCCUUCGGGUUCCGGGGGAAGUAUGGUUGCAAAGCUGAAACUUAAAGGAAUUGACGGAAGGGCACCACCAGGAGUGGAGCUUGCGGCUUAAUUUGACUCAACACGGGAAACCUCACCAGGCCCGGGCACCGGAAGGAUUGACAGAUCAAGAGCUCUUUCUUGAUUCGGUGGGUGGUGGUGCAUGGCCGUUCUUAGUUGGUGGAGCGAUUUGUCUGGUUAAUUCCGAUAACGAACGAGACUCUAGCCUGUUAAAUAGGCGACGGCCCGCGCCGUAAACAAGCGCGGGCUUUCCGGCAUGGAAUGAUUUUGAUAAAAAAACGUCAAACACUGCCGGCGACGUGAUUUCUUCUUAGAGGGACAAGCGGCUUCUAGCCGCACGAGAUUGAGCAAUAACAGGUCUGUGAUGCCCUUAGAUGUUCUGGGCCGCACGCGUGCUACACUGAAGGAAUCAACGUGUUUGACGAGUCCUAGGCCGAGAGGUCCGGGCAACCCGUUGAAUUUCCUUCGUGAUAGGGAUCGGGGCUUGCAAUUGUUUCCCGUGAACUAGGAAUUCCCAGUAAGCGCGAGUCAUAAGCUCGCGUUGAUUACGUCCCUGCCCUUUGUACACACCGCCCGUCGCUACUACCGAUCGAACGAUUUAGUGAGGUCUUUGGACUCGUACGCGGGGGACGUCCUCCGAGGCGACUUCUCGCAGCUGCGAGGAAGACGACCGAACUUAAUCGUUUAGAGGAAGUAAAAGUCGUAACAAGGUU
rnacentral:rRNA from 1 species